AGUCGUAACAAGGUUUCCGUAGGUGAACCUGCGGAAGGAUCAUUAGAGGUUAAAAACAUAUAUAAUCAGUUGCCUUACUAUGGGGAAGGUCGAAGUGAAGCUUUGCUGUUGUCGUUGCGGGACACGGUAAUGCUUCUACUGAGACUAGCUCCUGCUGCGGUCUGUGAAAGUCCUCUCCGCAAGAGGGCGAGUAAUAGUCCAAGGCGAAAAACGUUGGCUCUUAAAAUAGGGGUUCUUUGCUUAUUGGUUCGAGCUCUACUCAAUUGCGCGAGUAGUCUGCCUUAAGCAAUAGGACAGCCUUUCCGACAGCUUCUGAAUUCUCUCCGAGCGCAAAGGGAGAAGUGGGGGCUGAAGGAUAAAUCCUUAUGCAGUUAACUAAGCAGUGCUUGUAAAAAUUACCUAUACAACUUCUAGCGGUGGAUGUCUCGGCUUAC
rnacentral:misc_RNA from 1 species